UUCUUAUAAAAGAAAACUUAAUCUAGAGUAAAUAUUUGUGAAAAAUUAUAGGCAAUUUGUCACAGAAUGACGUGGGACUGGUUCAUCUCUAUGUCACACGCUGGGUGCUCUCUAUCACUCUUUUCAGCGAGUCUGUGCAUGUAACUCGACCUCUGUUCUUGUCCAGUUUCCACCAAUGCUAAAAUCGGCAUUCACUCCCAUUUACUGGGUGCUAUUGCCCAAACCAAAAUCACCUAAACUUUCAUCACAUUUAAUCACCAACACCUUUUCAAACAGCACACCACAUGUUCGACAAAAUUCCUCUACCAAACACAACCCCACCAUCACCCCUUCUUCCGCCUAUAUUCACCUUCCUUUCUGUAGAAAACGUUGCCAUUACUGUGACUUCCCGAUAGUAGCUCUCGGCUCCGCUUCAACCCAAACACACGAAGACCCGCGUGUUGUUAACUACAUUCAAUGGCUCUGCAGAGAAAUCAAUGCAACCAAAGUUGAAGAGAAACUGGGCUCCGAGACGCCCCUUCAAACGGUCUUUUUUGGAGGUGGGACACCCUCUUUGGUUCCUCCAAUUAUGGUUUCCUCGGUUUUGGAGACACUGAAGAUGAAAUUUGGGUUGAGUGAAAGUGCUGAAAUUUCAAUGGAAAUGGACCCGGGUACGUUUGAUUAUAAGAAGAUGCAAGAGAUGAUGUUAUUGGGAGUGAACAGAGUUUCUUUGGGAGUUCAAGCGUUUCAGGAGAAGCUUUUGAAGAGUUGUGGCAGGGCACAUGGUUUAGAAGAGGUUCACGAGGCUAUUGAUAUUGUCAAAAAAUGUGGGGUUGAGAAUUGGAGUAUUGAUCUUAUUGCUUCACUGCCUCAUCAGACUAGUGACAUGUGGGAGGAAAGUCUGAGACUCACCAUUGAGGCACAGCCUACUCAUGUUUCUGUUUAUGAUUUGCAAAUUGAACAAGGCACAAAAUUUGGAAGACUGUAUGCACCUGGGGAAUUUCCACUGCCUUCUGAGACACAAUCAGCUGAUUUCUAUAAGAUGGCUUCAAGGAUGCUUGGUGAUGCAAGUUAUAACCAUUACGAAAUCAGCAGCUACUGUAAGAAUGGGUAUGAAUGCAGACACAACUUUACCUAUUGGAAGAACAAGCCUUUCUAUGCCUUUGGCCUUGGCUCUACUAGUUUUGUUGGUGGCUUAAGGUUUGCAAGACCCAGGAAGUUGAACGAGUACAUGAAAUUUGUGGAAAAUCUGGAAAAUGGAUCAGUAAAUAGCUCAUCUGAUGAAAACAUUAAUACCAAGGACACUGCCCUGGAUGUUGUGAUGCUGUCCCUGAGAACUGCAAGAGGUCUAGAUUUGAAGCGUUUCCAAGAAUCAUUUGGAAGCUCUCUGGUUUAUUCUCUAUUUGAGGUUUAUAAACCUUAUGUUGAGAGUGGACACAUGGUUUUCUUGGACGAGCAAAGGAGAGCCAUUAGAAUAGAGGACAUCAACAAUUCUCUUUUGUAUGAUAUUAACUCAGAAAGGAGAGUGGCCUAUAUGAGGCUAAGUGAUCCAAAUGGUUUCCUUUUAUCAAAUGAGUUAAUAGCUCUUGCUUUUGGGGUUAUUGACUCUUGGAAGGAUUAUCCUUCUGCACUACAAGAAGCUACUUGAAAGCAUGAUUAUCUACCUGUUAAUACAACACAAGUUAUAGCUGAUGUUGUACAGCAAUUAUUUUGUGGCUAGUUUGACGAGAUGGAUACUCAAAGACAAACACAAAGAUUCCCCCAUCCAUACAUUAUUCCAUUGACAUAGGUUCUUUGAAUGAGUUCUUUGGUUUUAAGGGAUGGAAGUUGAUUUUGCUUGUGCCAGAUUUUUAUGUGUAAGAUUGUAGAUGCCUGGCAUUUAUGGUUAAGUGGACUCAUGGGAUUUUUCUUCCUUCCUUAUGGUUUCUAGUUGUAUUUGCAAUGGUUGUGUUGGUCUACAGGAAUUAAAGUUAUUUAGUAGCAAGCAUGACGUGAAUAAGGGAAAAUAUGGGAUUUUAAGUUGCCACAAGUGGAAUAAGAAAGCACUGAAAUGUCGGGCAGUCUGAUGUAAUAAUGUCGAUAUAGAGAUUUUGGGCGCCUGGAACAAUGUGGCCAACUGGGCGUAGUGGUUUUCAUUUAUUUGUUUACCAAGAUGAUGCAAGUAGAAUAUUGGUCCCUUUAUAUGAAGCUAAUUUUUGUUCUAUGAGCUCUAGUGUCUUUGUUGAUUGUGCCUGGUUGUCGUUUUGCCUGCAAAAGGAUCUAUGAACUUCAAUUAGUAUUUUUCUUCUUCCACUUCUUUCUUCAUUGUUUCUUGUUGCUUGUAAAGCCAGUGAUUACAAAUUUGUAUUGGCAAAUGGCAGUCCAUGAACAUUGAAUGCGCAUUGGAAAAGCAUGUUAUCUCUUUUCUGUCUUUCUUUUGUUAUGUUUUUAUAUAGUUUUCCCUGUAAAAGCUAUAUGAUGUGUACUAGUUUAACUAGUUUCCUCCUUUUCUAUAUUUCUUUUGCCACAGAUUAUCUCUCAAAUAUCAUUAGUACUAUUCAAUCUCGUUCUUCUUCUUCUUAUGUAUUCUGGAGGAACAGAAAAAAAACUUCAGUUGGUCUUUCUGUUUUCGUCAUCUCAAAUUUGCCAAGUCCUUGUUAAAAUAUUACAAAAUGUGAUGUAUGAUCUACAUAUCAAUAAUAUUUUAGGGAGGCUAUAUAACCCUGAAAGUUUGAUUCUGUUGCAAAAUUGAAAUGAACUUUAAAAUCUUCUUUAACCCGUAAAUCAUGACUAAUCCGGUCAUCGCACUAGUCGACAUGACACAAUUCCAGCUUCCCAUUUGUUUCAUGGUAUGGUUAUCAUAUAAAUGGACUUAGAAUAUAAUGGUGUCACGAGUCUGUUUGUGUGUUAAUUUCAACUAAACAGAAGGAUUACUUAGUGAAAAAUUAUUAGUUUUGGAAUAAAUCAAAAGGUUAUGUAAAGUUGUCCUCAUUGUUGCAAUUUAGUAAUUUGACUUUGGAUAACUUAUGUGGAAUUAUGAAUUUGAAACUUGAGUCACUACAUUUCUCCAACCUUGCAAAUGUUAAUAUGAGUGAGUGAUUGUCACCAGGCCAAUAACAAAAUUUUUUCUUCUAUAAAGUCCAUUGCGUCAAUAUGCAAAAUGGUCAAAGUUCAAUAUGGUUGUUGUAUGGAUUUCUCCCUUAUUUUUUAUUUG